ACCCUUUAAUGUUUGAUGUUCUAACGUGGACCCGUAAUCCGGGUUGCGGACAGUGUCUGGUGGGUAGUUUGACUGGGGCGGUCUCCUCCUAAAGAGUAACGGAGGAGCACGAAGGUUGGCUAAUCCUGGUCGGACAUCAGGAGGUUAGUGCAAUGGCAUAAGCCAGCUUGACUGCGAGCGUGACGGCGCGAGCAGGUGCGAAAGCAGGUCAUAGUGAUCCGGUGGUUCUGAAUGGAAGGGCCAUCGCUCAACGGAUAAAAGGUACUCCGGGGAUAACAGGCUGAUACCGCCCAAGAGUUCAUAUCGACGGCGGUGUUUGGCACCUCGAUGUCGGCUCAUCACAUCCUGGGGCUGAAGUAGGUCCCAAGGGUAUGGCUGUUCGCCAUUUAAAGUGGUACGCGAGCUGGGUUUAGAACGUCGUGAGACAGUUCGGUCCCUA
rnacentral:rRNA from 2 species